rnacentral:rRNA from 1 species
CCUACGGGGGGCAGCAGUGAGGAAUAUUGGUCAAUGGACGAGAGUCUGAACCAGCCAAGUAGCGUGAAGGAUGACUGCCCUAUGGGUUGUAAACUUCUUUUAUAUGGGAAUAAAACGUUCCACGUGUGGGAUUUUGUAUGUACCAUAUGAAUAAGGAUCGGCUAACUCCGUGCCAGCAGCCGCGGUAAUACGGAGGAUCCGAGCGUUAUCCGGAUUUAUUGGGUUUAAAGGGAGCGUAGGUGGAUUGUUAAGUCAGUUGUGAAAGUUUGCGGCUCAACCGUAAAAUUGCAGUUGAAACUGGCAGUCUUGAGUACAGUAGAGGUGGGCGGAAUUCGUGGUGUAGCGGUGAAAUGCUUAGAUAUCACGAAGAACUCCGAUUGCGAAGGCAGUUCACUGGACUGCAACUGACACUGAGGCUCGAAAGUGCGGGUAUCAAACAGGAUUAGAUACCCGUGUAGUC